rnacentral:rRNA from 1 species
GAUGAACGCUGGCGGCGUGCCUAAUACAUGCAAGUCGAGCGAACAGACGAGGAGCUUGCUCCUCUGACGUUAGCGGCGGACGGGUGAGUAACACGUGGAUAACCUACCUAUAAGACUGGGAUAACUUCGGGAAACCGGAGCUAAUACCGGAUAAUAUAUUGAACCGCAUGGUUCAAUAGUGAAAGACGGUUUUGCUGUCACUUAUAGAUGGAUCCGCGCCGCAUUAGCUAGUUGGUAAAGUAACGGCUUACCAAGGCAACGAUGCGUAGCCGACCUGAGAGGGUGAUCGGCCACACUGGAACUGAGACACGGUCCAGACUCCUACGGGAGGCAGCAGUAGGGAAUCUUCCGCAGUGGGCGAAAGCCUGACGGAGCAACGCCGCGUGAGUGAUGAAGGUCUUCGGAUCGUAAAACUCUGUUAUUAGGGAAGAACAAAUGUGUAAGUAACUAUGCACGUCUUGACGGUACCUAAUCAGAAGCCACGGCUAACUACGUG